AAUUUAUCGAAAGGAGGUGAUCCAGUGUCUAAGAAGGUGUUGGAGAAUGCGGUCGGGACAACUUUGGAGGGUCUCAUCUAAGGCAGUCCUUGGAUGACUGAAACUCCGAGGUGGAGCCUGCUCUAACCGGCCCCCUCCUGAACUUCACGGAAACGCCGCACCCAUUGCCGGGGGCGGCGU
rnacentral:misc_RNA from 1 species